rnacentral:rRNA from 1 species
GGGCCCGCACAAGCGGUGGAGCAUGUGGUUUAAUUCGAUGAUACGCGAGGAACCUUACCAGGGCUUAAAUGCAGAACGACAGAGGUGGAAACACCUCCUUCUUCGGACGGUCUGCAAGGUGCUGCAUGGUUGUCGUCAGCUCGUGCUGUGAAGUGUCGGGUUAAGUCCCAUAACGAGCGCAACCCCUAUUUCUAGUUGCCAGCGGUUCGGCCGGGGACUCUAGAGAAACUGCCAGCGUAAGCUGUGAGGAAGGUGGGGAUGACGUCAAAUCAUCACGGCCCUUACGUCCUGGGCUACACACGUGCUACAAUGGUAGGGACAGAGAGUUGCCAACCCGCGAGGGUGAGCUAAUCUUCAAACCCUAUCUCAGUUCGGAUCGGAGUCUGCAACUCGACUCCGUGAAGUUGGAAUCGCUAGUAAUCG